rnacentral:rRNA from 1 species
UACGAAGGGGGCUAGCGUUGUGCGGAUUUACUGGGCGUAAAGCGCACGUAGGCGGUUUGUUAAGUCAGAGGUGAAAUCCCGGAGCUCAACUCCGGAACUGCCUUUGAUACUGGCAAGCUAGAGUCCGGAAGAGGUGAGUGGAACUCCUAGUGUAGAGGUGGAAUUCGUAGAUAUUAGGAAGAACACCAGUGGCGAAGGCGGCUCACUGGUCCGGUACUGACGCUGAGACGCAAAAGCGUGGGGAGCGAACAGG